UGGCGGACGGGUGAGUAACGCGUGGGUAACCUGCCCUGUACAGGGGGAGUAACAGUCAGAAAUGACUGCUAAUACCGCAUAAGACCACAGCACCACAUGGUGCAGGGGUAAAAACUACCGGUGGUACAGGAUGGACCCGCGUCUGAUUAGCUGGUUGGUGAGGUAACGGCUCACCAAGGCGACGAUCAGUAGCCGGCUUGAGAGAGUGAACGGCCACAUUGGGACUGAGACACGGCCCAAACUCCUACGGGAGGCAGCAUG
rnacentral:rRNA from 1 species